rnacentral:rRNA from 1 species
UGAGGAAUAUUGGUCAAUGGGCGAAAGCCUGAACCAGCCAUGCCGCGUGAAGGAAUAAGGCCCUAUGGGUCGUAAACUUCUUUUGUAUCGGAGCAAUAAGGGCCACGAGUGGUCCGAUGAGAUUACGAUACGAAUAAGCAUCGGCUAACUCCGUGCCAGCAGCCGCGGUAAUACGGAGGAUGCAAGCGUUAUCCGGAUUUAUUGGGUUUAAAGGGUGCGUAGGCGGAUUAUUAAGUCAGCGGUGAAAGCGUGUGGCUCAACCAUACAGUUGCCGUUGAUACUGGUAGUCUUGAGUGUAAACGAGGUAGGCGGAAUGUGAUGUGUAGCGGUGAAAUGCUUAGAUAUGUCACAGAACCCCGAUUGCGAAGGCAGCUUACCAGGAUACGACUGACGCUGAGGCACGAAAGCGUGGGUAUCAAACAGGAUUAGAUA